UUAAGUGACUAAGCGUACAUGGUGGAUGCCUUGGCAGUCAGAGGCGAUGAAGGACGUACUAACCUGCGAUAAGCCGUGAGCAGUCGGUAAGAGACAUUACGACUCACGGAUUUCCGAAUGGGGAAACCCACUUAGCAUAAGCUAGGUAUCGCUACGUGAAUACAUAGCGUAGCGAGGCGAACCGGGAGAACUGAAACAUCUAAGUACCCCGAGGAAAAGAAAUCAACCGAGAUUCCCUCAGUAGCGGCGAGCGAACGGGGAUUAGCCCUUAAGCAUCUUGGAAGUUAGUGGAACGGUCCUGGAAAGGCCGGCGAUACAGGGUGAUAGCCCCGUACACGAAAACAACCUUGAUGUGAAAUCGAGUAGGGCGGGACACGUGACAUCCUGUCUGAAUAUGGGGGACCAUCCUCCAAGGCUAAAUACUCCUGACUGACCGAUAGUGAACCAGUACCGUGAGGGAAAGGCGAAAAGAACCCCUGUGAGGGGAGUGAAAUAGAACCUGAAACCGUGUACGUACAAGCAGUGGGAGCCCUUCGGGGUGACUGCGUACCUUUUGUAUAAUGGGUCAGCGACUUACAUUUUGUAGCGAGGUUAACCGUAUAGGGGAGCCGUAGGGAAACCGAGUCUUAACUGGGCGUCUAGUUGCAAGGUGUAGACCCGAAACCGGGUGAUCUAGCCAUGGGCAGGUUGAAGGUUGAGUAACAUCAACUGGAGGACCGAACCCACUAACGUUGCAAAGUUAGGGGAUGACCUGUGGCUGGGGGUGAAAGGCCAAUCAAACUCGGAGAUAGCUGGUUCUCCCCGAAAGCUAUUUAGGUAGCGCCUCGGACGAAUACUACUGGGGGUAGAGCACUGUUUGGGCUAGGGGGUCAUCCCGACUUACCAACCCCAUGCAAACUCCGAAUACCAGUAAGUAAUAUCCGGGAGACACACGGCGGGUGCUAACGUCCGUCGUGAAGAGGGAAACAACCCAGACCGCCGGCUAAGGUCCCAAAGUUCUGGUUAAGUGGGAAACGAUGUGGGAAGGCUCAGACAGCUAGGAUGUUGGCUUAGAAGCAGCCAUCAUUUAAAGAAAGCGUAAUAGCUCACUAGUCGAGUCGGCCUGCGCGGAAGAUGUAACGGGGCUCAAACCAGGCACCGAAGCCGCGGAUUCACGCUAAGCGUGAGUGGUAGGGGAGCGUUCUGUAAGUCUGCGAAGGUGUAUCGAGAGGUAUGCUGGAGAUAUCAGAAGUGCGAAUGCUGACGUAAGUAACGAUAAAGGGGGUGAAAAGCCUCCUCGCCGGAAGACCAAGGGUUCCUGUCCAACGUUAAUCGGGGCAGGGUGAGUCGACCCCUAAGGCGAGGCCGAAAGGCGUAGUCGAUGGGAAGCAGGUUAAUAUUCCUGCACGACUUGUAAUUGCGAUGGGGGGACGGAGAAGGCUAGGUGGGCCAGGCGACGGUUGUCCUGGUGAAAGUGCGUAGGUGGUGUUUCUAGGCAAAUCCGGAGACACAACACUGAGACACGAGACGAACACACUACGGUGUGGAAGCCAUUGAUGCCCUGCUUCCAGGAAAAGCCUCUAAGCUUCAGAUUACAAGUCAUCGUACCCCAAACCGACACAGGUGGUCGGGUAGAGAAUACCAAGGCGCUUGAGAGAACUCGGGUGAAGGAACUAGGCAAAAUAGAACCGUAACUUCGGGAGAAGGUUCGCUCUUGACAGUGAAGUCCCUUGCGGAUGGAGCAGUUGGGAGUCGCAGUGACCAGAUGGCUGGGACUGUUUAUCAAAAACACAGCACUCUGCAAACACGAAAGUGGACGUAUAGGGUGUGACACCUGCCCGGUGCCGGAAGGUUAAUUGAUGGGGUUAGCGCAAGCGAAGCUCUUGAUCGAAGCCCCGGUAAACGGCGGCCGUAACUAUAACGGUCCUAAGGUAGCGAAAUUCCUUGUCGGGUAAGUUCCGACCUGCACGAAUGGUGUAACCAUGGCCAUGCUGUCUCCACCCGAGACUCAGUGAAAUCGAAUUCGCCGUGAAGAUGCGGUGUACCCGCGGCUAGACGGAAAGACCCCGUGAACCUUUACUACAGCUUGGCACUGAACAUUGAACCUACAUGUGUAGGAUAGGUGGGAGGCUUUGAAGGCGUGACGCCAGUUGCGCUGGAGCCGUCCUUGAAAUACCACCCUUGUAUGUUUGAUGUUCUAACGCAGGCCCGUGAAUCCGGGUCGCGGACAGUGCCUGGUGGGUAGUUUGACUGGGGCGGUCUCCUCCCAAAGAGUAACGGAGGAGCACGAAGGUUGGCUAAUCCUGGUCGGACAUCAGGAGGUUAGUGCAAUGGCAUAAGCCAGCUUAACUGCGAGACGGACAGGUCGAGCAGGUACGAAAGUAGGUCAUAGUGAUCCGGUGGUUCUGAAUGGAAGGGCCAUCGCUCAACGGAUAAAAGGUACUCCGGGGAUAACAGGCUGAUACCGCCCAAGAGUUCAUAUCGACGGCGGUGUUUGGCACCUCGAUGUCGGCUCAUCACAUCCUGGGGCUGAAGUCGGUCCCAAGGGUAUGGCUGUUCGCCAUUUAAAGUGGUACGCGAGCUGGGUUCAGAACGUCGUGAGACAGUUCGGUCCCUAUCUGCCGUGGGCGUUGGAUGAUUGAAGGGAGUUGCUCCUAGUACGAGAGGACCGGAGUGAACGAACCUCUGGUGUUCGGGUUGUCACGCCAGUGGCACUGCCCGGUAGCUAAGUUCGGAAUCGAUAACCGCUGAAAGCAUCUAAGCGGGAAGCGAGCCCUGAGAUGAGUCAUCCCUGACCCCUUGAGGGUCCUAAAGGGCCGUUGGAGACCACAACGUUGAUAGGUGGGGUGUGUAAGCGCGGCGACGUGUUGAGCUAACCCAUACUAAUUACCCGUGAGGCUUAACC
rnacentral:rRNA from 1 species